rnacentral:rRNA from 1 species
GCCUAGUCAAGAUGAAGCCAGAGGAAACUCUGGUGGAUGUCUGAAGUUAUUCUGACGUGCAAAUCGAUAAUCUGAUCUGGGUAUAGGGGCGAAAGACUAAUCGAACCAUCUAGUAGCUGGUUCCUUCCGAAGUUUCCCUCAGGAUAGCAAGUGUACAUUGGUAGUUUCAUCCAGUAAAGCGAAUGAUUAGAGGUAUUGGGGCAUAUGUAGUCUCAACCUAUUCUCAAACUUUCAAUGGGUGUGAGUUCUCUUUCUUAAUUGAAGAGUGACUGCUAAAUAAGUAUGCUUAGUGGGCCAUUUUUGGUAAGCAGAACUGGCGCUGUGGGAUGAACCAAACGUGGGGUUAAAGUGCCUAAAGCUCGAAUGCGCAUAAGAUCUACAAAGGGUGUUAGUUGCUGAAGA